rnacentral:rRNA from 1 species
UGAUUGAGGUGUCAUUUGGGUUUUUUACACUGUUGUGUAUCAAAACGACGCUACUUUUGUUGGAUAAAUUAAAAAAUUAGUUUAAAGAUAGAGUUUUCACCUUCGUUUAAUAAGAUCGCUGCCUUUGUAUCAAAUAACGCUACCUUCGUUUUGGUAAUAAUGUAAAGUUUAUUUAAGAGGAUGGGUCAAUGGGAACAACGUUUCCUUUUUCUUAUCCUUCGUACCUGCACCUACCUCCUGCUUCACAUACCACCUAGUGUGCGCUAACUGUCUUCAUCAAUAUCCUUCGUCGUUAAUCCCUCUAGGUACGUACCAUUGUUGGGUCCGGCUACCUACGCCUUUCUCAAUACUGCCUCAUUAGUUAAUCUCUUCGCUUAAUUGAAUGGGCCUCGUUGAUCGAUGAUGUAGCCUGCAAGUAGUACGUAAGCUAGACUGCCGGAUCGUGAUCAGACUAUUUUCGGUUUUGAGAUCACUACGGGAAUGUAGUAGUACUGGGUGCAUGCUAUUGAUUAUAUCUAGCCAUUGAUUAUUCAUAUAUUCGUUACCUUCUAACUCUACGUACUAAUAAAAAGUAAUAAUAAUGAUUCUAUCUAUCCUAUCGAUCGCAGUGCCUACUCACGUGCAUGCAUGCACCAUGCACCUAGCCACCUGCGUACGUAGUACACGUACACGUACUUAAAAGCCACCUACUUCGUGCAUUACAUGCAUGCGCGCACGUGUUUCUGCGCAGCAACAAGAUAACGACCGACUGCAUGAACAGCUUCUACGUCGUGCCGGUUCCGCCGUCGUCGACCAACUACUACGACGUGUACUAGCUACGGCAGGAACGGGAUCAGCCCAGCUAACCUAGCCUAGCCACCGCUGUGGCUCCUGCUCCUCGAUCGAGUAGGGCUCCGACGGCAGGCAGUGCAAGCGGCUGGACAUCCGCCUCUAGUUGCCCAAGUUCACCGCUCGACAAGGAGAGCGGCCUCUCCUUCCUCUGCUACCUCUGCAGUACCAGAGCACAGUUACCAAACUAAAGGCCCUCUCCCUUUGCGUCAAAGACCGCCCGUUACGUGCCGUAGACCGCGGUUUUGCGAAGAGAGCAAGGGUGGUGUUGAAAACCUCCGUUUAAAAUAGACAGAUAUAUAUAUGUGCUACUAGCUAGGUUGUGGAAGUCGAGGUGUUGUGUUGGUGGGUGGACACAGUGUACCGCGGAUAAGUGCAGAGGAGGAGCCUCCAGUAGGAGGACCUGCUGUCGCUGCUGCUCCUCGACGAACCAUACUUGUAGCGACUGCACUGGAGCGAACUGCUGGAACUGAAGAGGCUGCUGCCGGGGCCGUUGUUCUUCUGUACACGACACCUGUUAUGGAGGAGAGUUCUACGACGACAACUGCAGCUGUUAAUGAGGUGGUUUAGGUUGCCGGAACGUAAGAAUCUGGUGCUGCCCGUGUCUACGCUUUUCCGGCUGCUGCAACAACAAUAGAGGAGGAGGCCGCUACUCCUCAGUCGACGACUGUAGCCGCGGUACCUGAGGUUAUCACCGUUUAGCAAACAGAGGCAGCUGAGUUUAAGUUAUUCGUUCUUCUUCGCCCCCGGUUCCGGGGUCAUGUUGAUGACCGUGAAGUUGCUGCUCACGGUUUAUUAACUACGGCUACCCUACGAGGCUUCCUUCUUCUUUAUGUUUCCGCCCCUGCAUGGCCACGGCCGCGAGUAUGUCUUCAAUUUUUUCCCGGGCAGUGGGUAGUAGAUGCAGUGGGUAGUAGAUGGCACCACUUGAAUCACACAGGGCACAAGCGCCCUUUGCCUCUGUAAACUACUUAUUCAAAGCACUCCGCCAUUUCUACCCGCUGUUGAUGUUUGGUGAGUUGUACGUACUAGUUCUGGAGAUGCUGGCAAGGUAACGCCGCACCGGUGUAUAAUAACUUCUUCUUCGAUCAUGGUACGUGCUAGUGCUUAUUAUAUCUAUAUCAAAUAUGAUCCUUUUUCCGGGGACUCAACGUUGUCCUAAAAAAAGGGGAUGUAGUAGGAUAAUUUUCUCUAUCUCCGAGUAAGUACCAGUUACAUUACACACAAAGCUGUGCCUACGGA